rnacentral:rRNA from 1 species
GGCCUAUCAGCUAGUUGGCGGGGUAACGGCCCACCAAGGCAACGACGGGUAGCUGGUCUGAGAGGAUGGCCAGCCACAUUGGGACUGAGAGACGGCCCAGACUCCUACGGGAGGCAGCAGUGGGGAAUAUUGCGCAAUGGCCGCAAGGCUGACGCAGCGACGCCGCGUGUGGGAUGACGCCCUUCGGGGUGUAAACCACUGUUGCCCGGGACGAACGAGGGGAUUCAUCCCCUGUGACGGUACCGGGUGAGGAAGCACCGGCUAACUCCGUGCCAGCAGCCGCGGUAAUACGGAGGGUGCGAGCGUUGUCCGGAAUCACUGGGCGUAAAGGGCGCGUAGGCGGCUUGGUAAGGGGGCGGUGAAAGCCCGGGGCUCAACCCCGGGUCUGCCGGACCGACUGCCGAGCUUGAGCACACUAGGGGCAGGUGGAAUUCCGGGUGUAGCGGUGGAAUGCGUAGAGAUCCGGAAGAACACCGGUGGCGAAGGCGGCCUGCCGGGGUGUAGCUGACGCUGAGGCGCGACAGCGUGGGGAGCA